GCAAGGACAAAUAAAAUAUGUUUCUUGUCCUCAAGGAACUUAAAAUAUAUUAAGGAAAACCGGCACGUAACACAGCUAAUGAGAUUGCAAGGCAGGAUGUGCAAAGUGAUGUCACAGAGGCAUGGUCAAGGUACAAUGGGCUCAUUCGGGGAGGCGUUUAUUUCCACUCUGCAUCAGAGCCUUCAUGUGGAAGGUGACAUCGAAACAGAAAAGGACAUCAGGAAGGCAGAAAGUCAUUUCAGGUGGCAAGGGAAUAACAUGAGUGAAGGCAGGGAAGAGGGAAAGUGGCUCAGCUGAGGCAGCUCAGAGGGAAAGUGGCUCAGCUGAGGCAGGUCAGAGAACGCAGAGACUAAGAGUAUAGCGUCUGGGGACCCACGGCCUGGGCGCAGAAACUUGGCUUUACCUCUUGUGAGCAAGUAAGUUCAUCUCUCUUGGUUUGUUUCUGCAUCUGUAAAAUGGAGCUCCGAAUGGUAGCCAUCUCACGGGGUCUUUGUGAGGAUUAAAUGAGGUGAUCUACGCAGACCCUUAGCGCAGUGUCUGGCUCACAGCAGGCCCCAGGGCAGGAUCUGGGGACAGGGUGAUACAGAGGGUGUGACCUGGGAAUGGUCUUAACUUGCAAACAACAGAGUCUCCAAGUAAUGGCUGAAUUUAGUGGCUGAAAUAGAAAAUAAUUUCCCUUUCAGUUAAGAAUCUGGAGGUAGGCAAUCCAGAGCUGUUAUGGUGGCUCCAUUCCACCAAGUCCUCAGGGCCCAGUUCCUUCUCGCUUCUGCUUCGUCAUCCCUGUGGUGUGGCCCUUGUCGUCAUAGUCCAGGAUGGCACCUCGGUCGUGACAUUCGUGUCCCAGUCGGCAGGAUGAGGCGUGCAUCCACUGUCUCUUUAGGUUCCCAGAAGCUGCCUCCGGACAUUUGCACCGGCAUCCUAUUCACUUGAAUUUGGUCACUUGGCCACACCUAGCUGCAGGGAAACAUAAUCUUUUUUUCUGGGUGGCCCUCUUUCCAGCUAAACUUUCUUUUAGUAACAGAAGAAGGGGGAAACAGACGUUGGAGGAAGCUAACAGUCUCUUACCAAGAGAGAUAAGACGGAAGCCAGAUUACAGAGGUCUUCAAGGCGGUCCACGGAAUUGGUACCUUGCUGCUCGGCUCUGUGGAGCAGUUGAUAGUCUCAGUGUAGGGAGUUCAUACGACUGGAGGCUGUUCGUGGUGAUGGGCUCUGCCGUGGUUCCUCAAACCAGCAAUACUCGCGUACUUUCAAGAGCAGCUACUUUCAAUUAAAACAAAAAUGCCCCCCUCCCAUCUUCCAACAUCCUUUGCCACUCUCCCUCCUCUUUACAGAAGGGAAGAGGCAGCUGAGGGGAGGCAGUGUGCGAAGGCAGCCCUUCCACCUGGCGGCUCUCCCUUGGACCUCCUCCAGUGGCCCCCUGGCCCUCUCGAAAUGUGCCGAGAAGAGAAAUCAUCCCCUCGGAGAGCUCUUCCUAUUAGGUGAUCCUCAGAAUUUCUUUGGCAAAUUUUUGACCAUCUGAUGGCUGGCUUGUGAGAUUAUUCCAGGUUUUUAGCUCUAGAAAAACAAAUUACAAAGAAAUGUCAACAUAAAAGACUGCAGCUAAACAUAAAAAUUUGAGUGCUCAGGAUCAGAAAUAAUAAGAUGACUGCUUUGAAAUGAGAAGAGACCCAUGAGGGGAAAAGUGGCUGUGACUGCGGACGGCGAAAAUAUAAAGGGACCACCGGAUGUGAGUUGUGGUUUGCAUCGUGGAAGCCUGUGAAUUCAGAGGCUGGCCGCGAGGGCCGAACGUUCCUGGCCGUAAAGUGGGAGCCUGGCCUGGGCGGCUCUCUCGUGUGGCUCCGCGGUGCCAGCUCCUCUCUGUCAGGUCGGUUUUGUUUCUUGUAUCUCUGGGAAGGCAGGCUGACAGCUCGGGCACCUGUGAAUGCAGCCACAACGGGCCUCGCUGCCUUGCUGAUGGAUGUGCCCAGUAAGCUACAAAGAGGUGACCAGCCUUUCCAGCAGCUGAAGGUGAUUUUCAAGAACAGGAGGGAUUGCCUCAAACUGCUCUCCUUGAAUUUCAUUUUAGUAUUUUGCAUGACAGAGCACAGAGCCGAUGGAUAUGAACGUAUUUAACUCCAACGACCAGCGUGGUGCCAUCUCUGAAAACAUGGAGUCGACUCCGGGUCUUCUUUUGGAUUCCAUUUUCUCAAGGUUGGACAUUCUCCAGACAGUCAGCCCGGAAAAGUCUCUGGAUGCCAGACCCAACCAGAGGCUCUCGGGCCAGCAGACACUGCUGUUCAUCCCGUCCUCUUGGAGGUGGACACAAACUGAAGGUUAAUUGGGACCACUUGGCAAACGCUUGCUUGUCCACGGAAGUUACACAAACCAGUCCAUGCUGAUCGACUGCAAAACUACAUCUAUUUUAUUUGGUCGUUUACAAAUAACCCACCUGAACAAAACCAGACCUGGAUGGAAGAAAAUUAGAGUUUCUAGGAAAUUACUCUGAAAAUAAUGGAGAACUGGAAUUAAAAUUAUUAACAUACUUUUAGGGCACUGUCUAUCACACAUUCUGAAGAUAGUUAAUUUUUUUUUAAUUGAGAAGAACUAGAAAGUUCACGUGCUAGAAUAUAUUGUGAAACCUAUCUUUAAUAGCUUCCUUUAAACUCAGAUUUUGAAUCUUCCUAUGUUGAAAUGUAAGCUGAUUUGACACUAUGAUCUUGGAUGGUCUCUGGGUUUGAUGUAAUGGAAAGGGAGUGGGGUUUGUAAUAAUAAUAGC
rnacentral:lncRNA from 1 species